UAGUGGCACAUUUUACACUUUUAUAAUUAGUGGCUCAUGUCCCUUCAGAUUUGACCGCACUUACCGCUUGAUGACGUCCCAGUUUGAUAUUUCUUUUGAGUGUUUUGAGAAAACUGAGAAAACGAAAAUCGUCAACGCAGGCCUGGAUACGGUUAAAGAAAUAUAAACAAAUUUUGGUAUCCUCGCAUCGUUGUCCGGAGCAGUUGGAUAUCAUUGUCAUCAAUAACCCCAGGGUUGAAAAAUUGAUUCGGUUCUGUGACUUCGAAUCUAAAGACUAUGGCGUGCGGCAUCGAAGAAUUUAUUCCGUGCAUUUUAGGUCGUCUUGUUUCAAACACCUAUUAAAUCUAUCUAAAGGAUGAUGAUCGAGUUGCACUUUUUGUUGCCAACGAACGGAAAACAGCGACCAGCUGCUGCAUUUGCUCCACCACCCGUUUUUUCUAAGAGAUCAGAGAUGUGUAUUUUCGCUCUGCAGUUUGUUGCUUUUAGCUAAAUAGUUGAAGAAAUUUUUCUCCUCAAAAUAUUUGAUUAUUUCUGCUGCCUCUG